GGGCUGUGAGAAGUUUGCCAGGGGAAGGAGCGGUCUCUGCUCUGCGCAUGAAACCUUGAUGGCUUCAAAGCAAGAGCCAGAAUGCGGGCAGGGCACACGCAUGAUUGGGUAUGGCGCCUUCAGCGGGAUCGGCUCUUCCUGGACGGCAGGCAGCAGCAUGGACCAUGGGAUCUCCUCUUCUGUUCCUGGCGCCUCGUCGGAUUGUGGCGAGUCGUUGCAAGACAUGCCGAGUGGCAGGCUCAUACCGCCGCAGCUGCUUGUUCCUGGUUCCCUGAAACCUUCUUCUUCGUUUAACCUGGUGGGUAAUGGCCAAGAGGGUGGAGAGGGGAUUCGGAGCCAGAACUUCGGGUUGGUCGUGCCGGAGGGAAGGGUGCAUGGUGGAGGGCUGAUGUCGAUGCUCGGAGGAGCUGGCGGCAACAGCAUCCAUGUUCCGAAAUCCUGAAAAGUGCACCUGAAUUGCAGCUUGUUUCGUGUGCUUCCACUAUGAUUCUGCAUCUGGCAUCUCGAUCUGUGGAUUCAGAUCACCAUUGCGGUUUGCUGUCACCGUUAUGAUGAUCCUGAAGGUACGUGGCAGUCAGCUAGGGCCUUGUGUAGCAUGUUGUGCGAUCAACAACUGAAUAUAGUGUCAGCAUGUAGUCCUUGUGUACAUAGCUUUGUGCAGUCUGUACUUUAAAACUGGUGUAUACAAAAGUUGUGUUUUUAAAAUUCU